GUAAUAGGAUCCUAUAUAAGAAAAAGACCCAAAAAUCAGGACAUCUGGUCACCCUAGGCACCCAAAUGGCUAGGGUCGGCCCUGGCCAGACCAGUGUGGAUUUUGGAUUUUUUUUUAGCACACAGAUGUGUGCUAAUUGGGCCGCAUGCAGCCCACGGGCCGCAGUUUGAGAACCACUGAGUCAGAGAGAUCCAUGGAUCAAGUUGUUUGUGAGGGGUUUGGGGUGUGAUGGACUGAAAUGUCGACCAGUCUAGGCUGCCAACGGACUGGCGUGACAACCUGGCUUUCAAGGAAAUAAAGGACUGCCUGAAAAAUAUGAGGGUGAAAGGCAAAUUGUCUGCUUCCCAUUUGGCCCCCGUUUUAAAUUAAGCAAGGACCUGCUUUUAGAAAACCUUAUAGCAACACAAACUGCCUUCCCCAGUUUGUACUUUAACACAGUUGCUUAAAAACAGCAUUCCCACAAAAUUCCAAUGGAAAUAUGUUUUGAAGCAAACAAAUAGUGCCCACGUGGUGGUGUGUGAAAGUUGCAGGCUACAGCAAGUGGGAGCUGAAAGUGAAACUGACCAUAAGCAAAACUGGAUUCACUUUUAUUGUUAUGCACAUUGUGGGGACACCCACCGUAAGUUAGGCGCUUUCCAAACUCAGAGGAAGACGGUCCCAGCCACAAAGAGCUUACAGUGUAAAAACGACAAACUAUAAGGGAAAGGGAUGUAGUACGCAAGCAGAGUGAUGAAUUGCGUGUUUCGCUGUAGCUUAUUUUUAGAUUUCCCUCUGAUCAUCCUCCCUUCACAGGUUAGCCCUCUCUGCUUUCGCCACAGCAUUUCCUACCUUCAAAUCUAGUGGUCUUUUAUGCCCCUCUGUACCUGUACCUCCCUCAUAAAGAUGACCCUAGUCAAUCAUGUGAUAAGUAAGUGAAACAGUAAGUAGAUGGCUUAGGCCCAGAUCCUACAGACUUUUAAACUUUGCAGGCUUAAUAAACGGAAAAUUAUAUCGAGCUAACUAUAUGUAUUAGGGUUGUGAUUUUUUUAAGUAAGUUAUACCAGUACAGACCUAUUGUGAACACAGUCAUAUCCAUAUAAAGAUGUAGCUUAUUGGUCUUCCUGUGUGGAAAUGUGAAUUGGUGUAAGCAUUUUUAUACCCUUAUAACUGUCAUAAGAGGAGAGUUGUACUGCUUUAACUAUAGCAGUGUAGUUCAAGCAGUUUAGACAAAUCCUAAACUAGUUUCCUGUGAGUGUGUGGCAGAAUUUUAUCUGCAGGAAGGAUUUAAGAGAGGAGAGGGAAGUGGUUUUGUGGGCUGAUCCCAAAAGGGUGUUUUUUCUAUAGAGCUGCUUGAAACUUUAUUUUGUGUUUGUGGGAAUUUUGAAAGCAUGCUCAUGCCAUUGUUCUUAUUUCUAAAUUAACCAGUUUUUCAUUUUCUGCAGUUUUUUUUUAAAUUAUUUUUUUCCAUUUUCAAAAUCAACAGUUUUCAAAAAAUAAAAUGAUCAAAUUUCUAAUUUUUUAAAAUGUAUAUAAAAUAGAUCAGAUUUUUGCAUUAUAGACCCCUCUUCUUUUUUCAGUUGGUCAUAAAUUGCUGGGACGGAGAGGGAGAAUGUUUGGAGCUGAAACUUUCCAUGCUUAGGCUUAGCUCUAAAGCCUUACAACAACUGUGGUUUCUGGGAGCCUCUAAACAAGUCAUCCUCAACCCUCUCAAGGUCUGUGUACCUAGCCCUCUGCUUUGUUCGGAGACUUGCAGAAUUUUGUUUACAUGAAUUUUGUGGUUCAACCAUGUGAGCUUAGAUAUGCAGUCAGUCUUAUCUCAAAUCCUCUACUGAAACUCAAAAGCAAGAUUGAAAAUGUAAAGCUGAGGCACUUGCGUCAGCAGCAGUAAAGUAGCUGUGAG